rnacentral:rRNA from 1 species
GCGGGUGGGGAGGGCCUAUUCUUGCAAGUUCGAGCGGACAGAAGGGAGCUUGCUCCCGGAUGUUAGCGGCGGACGGGUGAGUAACACGUGGGUAACCUGCCUGUAAGACUGGGAUAACUCCGGGAAACCGGAGCUAAUACCGGAUAGUUCCUUGAACCGCAUGGUUCAAGGAUGAAAGACGGUUUCGGCUGUCACUUACAGAUGGACCCGCGGCGCAUUAGCUAGUUGGUGAGGUAACGGCUCACCAAGGCGACGAUGCGUAGCCGACCUGAGAGGGUGAUCGGCCACACUGGGACUGAGACACGGCCCAGACUCCUACGGGAGGCAGCAGUAGGGAAUCUUCCGCAAUGGACGAAAGUCUGACGGAGCAACGCCGCGUGAGUGAUGAAGGUUUUCGGAUCGUAAAGCUCUGUUGUUAGGGAAGAACAAGUGCAAGAGUAACUGCUUGCACCUUGACGGUACCUAACCAGAAAGCCACGGCUAACUACGUGCCAGCAGCCGCGGUAAUACGUAGGUGGCAAGCGUUGUCCGGAAUUAUUGGGCGUAAAGGGCUCGCAGGCGGUUUCUUAAGUCUGAUGUGAAAGCCCCCGGCUCAACCGGGGAGGGUCAUUGGAAACUGGGAAACUUGAGUGCAGAAGAGGAGAGUGGAAUUCCACGUGUAGCGGUGAAAUGCGUAGAGAUGUGGAGGAACACCAGUGGCGAAGGCGACUCUCUGGUCUGUAACUGACGCUGAGGAGCGAAAGCGUGGGGAGCGAACAGGAUUAGAUACCCUGGUAGUCCAA